rnacentral:rRNA from 1 species
UACGGAAGGCAGCAGUGGGGAAUAUUGCACAAUGGGCGCAAGCCUGAUGCAGCCAUGCCGCGUGUAUGAAGAAGGCCUUCGGGUUGUAAAGUACUUUCAGUCGUGAGGAAGGUGUUAAGGUUAAUAACCUUAGCAAUUGACGUUAGCGACAGAAGAAGCACCGGCUAACUCCGUGCCAGCAGCCGCGGUAAUACGGAGGGUGCGAGCGUUAAUCGGAAUUACUGGGCGUAAAGGGCACGCAGGCGGUUAAUUAAGUUGGAUGUGAAAUCCCCGGGCUUAACCUGGGAAUGGCAUUCAAGACUGGUUUAGCUAGAGUCUUGUAGAGGGGGUAGAAUUCCAUGUGUAGCGGUGAAAUGCGUAGAGAUGUGGAGGAAUACCGGUGGCGAAGGCGGCCCCUGGACAAAGACUGACGCUCAUGUGCGAAAGCGUGGGGAGCAAACAGGGAUUAGAUACC